UACGGAGGAUGCAAGCGUUAUCCGGAAUUAUUGGGCGUAAAGCGUCCGCAGGUGGUUUUGAAAGUUUGCUGUCAAAGCGCGGAGCUUAACUUCGUACCGGCAGUGAAAACUCCAAGACUAGAGUUUGGUAGGGGUCACGGGAAUUCCCAGUGUAGCGGUGAAAUGCGUAGAGAUGUGGAGGAACACCGAUGGCGAAGGCAGCCCCCUGGGUCAAGAUUGACGCUCAUGCACGAAAGCGUGGGGAGCAAACAGG
rnacentral:rRNA from 1 species